AAUGAACGCUGGCGGCAGGCCUAACACAUGCAAGUCGAGCGAAGUCUUCGGACUUAGCGGCGGACGGGUGAGUAACGCGUGGGAACAUGCCCUUUGGAGCGGAAUAGCCCCGGGAAACUGGGAGUAAUACCGCAUGUGCCCUUCGGGGGAAAGAUUUAUCGCCAAAGGAUUGGCCCGCGUUGGAUUAGGUAGUUGGUGGGGUAAUGGCCUACCAAGCCGACGAUCCAUAGCUGGUUUGAGAGGAUGAUCAGCCACACUGGGACUGAGACACGGCCCAGACUCCUACGGGAGGCAGCAGUGGGGAAUCUUAGACAAUGGGCGCAAGCCUGAUCUAGCCAUGCCGCGUGAUCGAUGAAGGCCUUAGGGUUGUAAAGAUCUUUCAGUGGGGAAGAUAAUGACGGUACCCACAGAAGAAGCCCCGGCUAACUCCGUG
rnacentral:rRNA from 1 species